rnacentral:rRNA from 1 species
UCCUACGGGGGGCAGCAGUAGGGAAUAUUGGACAAUGGGCGAGAGCCUGAUCCAGCCAUGCCGCGUGCAGGAAGAAGGCCCUCUGGGUUGUAAACUGCUUUUGACCAGGGCCAAAAUACCCAUGCGUGGGGAAUUGAGAGUACUGGUAGAAUAAGCACCGGCUAACUCCGUGCCAGCAGCCGCGGUAAUACGGAGGGUGCAAGCGUUGUCCGGAUUUAUUGGGUUUAAAGGGUGCGUAGGUGGCCCUAUAAGUCAGUGGUGAAAGUCUGCAGCUUAACUGUAGAACUGCCAUUGAUACUGUAGGGCUUGAGUACUGAUGAGGUAGGCGGAAUUGAUAGUGUAGCGGUGAAAUGCAUAGAUAUUAUCAAGAACACCGAUUGCGAAGGCAGCUUACUAAGGAGUUACUGACACUGAGGCACGAAAGCGUGGGGAUCAAACAGGAUUAGAUACCCUAGUAGUCAC